rnacentral:rRNA from 1 species
UACGUAGGGUGCGAGCGUUGUCCGGAAUCAUUGGGCGUAAAGGGCGCGUAGGUGGCUUCUUAAGCGUGCGGUGAAAGCCUGGGGCUCAACCCCGGGUCGGCCGUGCGAACUGGGGGGCUGGAGCACUGUAGAGGCAGGCGGAAUUCCGGGUGUAGCGGUGGAAUGCGUAGAGAUCCGGAAGAACACCGGUGGCGAAGGCGGCCUGCUGGGCAGUUGCUGACACUGAGGCGCGACAGCGUGGGGAGCAAACAGG